rnacentral:rRNA from 1 species
CCCUUAGAUGUUCUGGGCUGCACGCGCGCUACACUGAUGCGCUCAACGAGUUUUAACCUUGCCUGGAAAGGUUGGGUAAUCUUUUUAAAACGCAUCGUGAUGGGGAUAGAUUAUUGCAAUUAUUAAUCUUCAACGAGGAAUUCCUAGUAAGCGCGAGUCAUCAGCUCGUGCUGAUUACGUCCCUGCCCUUUGUACACACCGCCUGUCGCUCCUACCGAUUGGGUGAUCCGGUGAAUAAUUCGGACUGCGGCAUUGACCGGUUCCCGAUCGUUGUUGCGGAAAGUUUAGUGAACCUUAUCACUUAGAGGAAUGAGAAGUCGUAACA